GGGGGUGCCCCGGUUUCGACUGAUACGGUUCGGGAUACAAGCCGCAGGUGGAGCGCCCGUCUCCUGAUCGGGCAAAACAUUAACUGCCGACUACGACAGUUACGCUCUCGCCGCGUAAGCGCGGGAACGCGGAAACCAGCCCCGCCGCCUUGAGGGGUUGAGUUUCCGUCGCAAACAAGGCUGGCUUGGCCGCCGCUUCCGGAGACGGCCCGGUAAGAUUACCCGGAAUACGGAGAGGCCGCGCGCUGUCUAGUCAAGCCUCUCCCGACAACACAAUAGGCGGCUAAACCUGUAGACGCUUGUGUUUCGCGUAUUAGGACGCGGGUUCAAUUCCCGCCACCUCCAA
rnacentral:tmRNA from 1 species